GAUGAACUCUGGCGGCGUGCCUAAUACAUGCAAGUCGAGCGAACAGACGAGGAGCUUGCUCCUCUGACGUUAGCGGCGGACGGGUGAGUAACACGUGGAUAACCUACCUAUAAGACUGGGAUAACUUCGGGAAACCGGAGCUAAUACCGGAUAAUAUAUUGAACCGCAUGGUUCAAUAGUGAAAGACGGUUUUGCUGUCACUUAUAGAUGGAUCCGCGCCGCAUUAGCUAGUUGGUAAGGUAACGGCUUACCAAGGCGACGAUGCGUAGCCGACCUGAGAGGGUGAUCGGCCACACUGGAACUGAGACACGGUCCAGACUCCUACGGGAGGCAGCAGUAGGGAAUCUUCCGCAAUGGGCGAAAGCCUGACGGAGCAACGCCGCGUGAGUGAUGAAGGUCUUCGGAUCGUAAAACUCUGUUAUUAGGGAAGAACAAAUGUGUAAGUAACUAUGCACGUCUUGACGGUACCUAAUCAGAAAGCCACGGCUAACUACGUG
rnacentral:rRNA from 1 species